rnacentral:rRNA from 1 species
GACGAACGCUGGCGGCGUGCUUAACACAUGCAAGUCGAACGGAAAGGCCCUGCUUUUGUGGGGUGCUCGAGUGGCGACCGGGUGCGUAACACGUGCGUAACCUGCCCUUGACUUUGGGAUAACUUCAGGAAACUGGGGCUACUACCGGAUACGAGCUCCUGCUGCAUGGUGUGGGUUGGAAAGGUUGGGCGGUUGGGGAUGGACUCGCGGCUUAUCAGGUUGUUGGUGGGGUAUUGGCUUACCAAGGCUUUGACGGGUAGGCGGCCUGAGAGGGUGACCGGCGACAUUGGGAAUGAGAUACGGUCCAGCGUGAGACGGGAGGCAGCAGUCGGGACUAAUGGACGAUGGGCGGAGGGAGGAUGGAGGAAUGAGGGGUGCGGGAUGUCGGACUUUGGGUUGUAAACCGCUUUAGGAUGUGACGAAGCGUGAGUGACGGUAACGGGUAAAGAAGCACCGGCUAACUACGUG